rnacentral:rRNA from 1 species
GUCUAUGGCCAUACCACCCUGAACACACCCGAUCUCGUCUGAUAUCGGAAGCUAAGCAGGGUCAGGCCUGGUUAGUGCUUGGAUGGGAGACCGCCUGGGAAUACUGGGUACUGUAGGCU